GCAGUCGAACGAACUCUGGUAUUGAUUGGUGCUUGCAUCAUGAUUUACAUUUGAGUGAGUGGCGAACUGGUGAGUAACACGUGGGAAACCUGCCCAGAAGCGGGGGAUAACACCUGGAAACAGAUGCUAAUACCGCAUAACAACUUGGACCGCAUGGUCCGAGUUUGAAAGAUGGCUUCGGCUAUCACUUUUGGAUGGUCCCGCGGCGUAUUAGCUAGAUGGUGGGGUAACGGCUCACCAUGGCAAUGAUACGUAGCCGACCUGAGAGGGUAAUCGGCCACAUUGGGACUGAGACACGGCCCAAACUCCUACGGGAGGCAGCAGUAGGGAAUCUUCCACAAUGGACGAAAGUCUGAUGGAGCAACGCCGCGUGAGUGAAGAAGGGUUUCGGCUCGUAAAACUCUGUUGUUAAAGAAGAACAUAUCUGAGAGUAACUGUUCAGGUAUUGACGGUAUUUAACCAGAAAGCCACGGCUAACUACGUGCCAGCAGCCGCGGUAAUACGUAGGUGGCAAGCGUUGUCCGGAUUUAUUGGGCGUAAAGCGAGCGCAGGCGGUUUUUUAAGUCUGAUGUGAAAGCCUUCGGCUCAACCGAAGAAGUGCAUCGGAAACUGGGAAACUUGAGUGCAGAAGAGGACAGUGGAACUCCAUGUGUAGCGGUGAAAUGCGUAGAUAUAUGGAAGAACACCAGUGGCGAAGGCGGCUGUCUGGUCUGUAACUGACGCUGAGGCUCGAAAGUAUGGGUAGCAAACAGGAUUAGAUACCCUGGUAGUCCAUACCGUAAACGAUGAAUGCUAAGUGUUGGAGGGUUUCCGCCCUUCAGUGCUGCAGCUAACGCAUUAAGCAUUCCGCCUGGGGAGUACGGCCGCAAGGCUGAAACUCAAAGGAAUUGACGGGGGCCCGCACAAGCGGUGGAGCAUGUGGUUUAAUUCGAAGCUACGCGAAGAACCUUACCAGGUCUUGACAUACUAUGCAAAUCUAAGAGAUUAGACGUUCCCUUCGGGGACAUGGAUACAGGUGGUGCAUGGUUGUCGUCAGUUCGUGUCGUGAGAUGUUGGGUUAAGUCCCGCAACGAGCGCAACCCUUAUUAUCAGUUGCCAGCAUUAAGUUGGGCACUCUGGUGAGACUGCCGGUGACAAACCGGAGGAAGGUGGGGAUGACGUCAAAUCAUCAUGCCCCUUAUGACCUGGGCUACACACGUGCUACAAUGGAUGGUACAACGAGUUGCGAACUCGCGAGAGUAAGCUAAUCUCUUAAAGCCAUUCUCAGUUCGGAUUGUAGGCUGCAACUCGCCUACAUGAAGUCGGAAUCGCUAGUAAUCGCGGAUCAGCAUGCCGCGGUGAAUACGUUCCCGGGCCUUGUACACACCGCCCGUCACACCAUGAGAGUUUGUAACACCCAAAGUCGGUGGGGUAAC
rnacentral:rRNA from 2 species